rnacentral:rRNA from 1 species
UGGGGAAUUUUGGACAAUGGGGGAAACCCUGAUCCAGCCAUCCCGCGUGUGCGAUGAAGGCCUUCGGGUUGUAAAGCACUUUUGGCAGGAAAGAAACGUCGCGGGUUAAUACCCCGCGAAACUGACGGUACCUGCAGAAUAAGCACCGGCUAACUACGUGCCAGCAGCCGCGGUAAUACGUAGGGUGCAAGCGUUAAUCGGAAUUACUGGGCGUAAAGCGUGCGCAGGCGGUUCGGAAAGAAAGAUGUGAAAUCCCAGAGCUUAACUUUGGAACUGCAUUUUUAACUACCGGGCUAGAGUGUGUCAGAGGGAGGUGGAAUUCCGCGUGUAGCAGUGAAAUGCGUAGAUAUGCGGAGGAACACCGAUGGCGAAGGCAGCCUCCUGGGAUAACACUGACGCUCAUGCACGAAAGCGUGGGGGAGCAAACAGGAUUAGAUACCCUGGUAGUCCACGCCCUAAACGAUGUCAACUAGCUGUUGGGGCCUUCGGGCCUUGGUAGCGCAGCUAACGCGUGAAGUUGACCGCCUGGGGAGUACGGUCGCAAGAUUAAAACUCAAAGGAAUU